UAAUUCGAUUUAAGAUUAAUUAAAUGAAUUGGUUUAAAUUCUUCUAAGUGUUGUAAAGAUGAUUCAAAAUUUUUGUGUAUAAAAAAGUUUAUUUUUACAGUGUAAUUUUAUUACAUCGAAUAGCUAAAUUUUAAAACCUAUCCUAUUUUUCAUUAGAGUUAAUAUUAGGCUUGAAAUGUUAGCGAAUCAUGGUACAGACAAUCAAGGACAUCCGUGUUCUUGCUAUUCUUCGCUGCGAAUAAUGAAAAUGACUCACAUCCCGUCGGGCUCGAUGUGAAACGUGCAGCGAUGGACAGCAAAGGCAUGAUGGCGGUCGUGCGCGGCCUACCCGACUCCGGCCUCAUGGUCACCCUUAUGGACGGCGGCAAGCAAUACACGCUCAUGCCUAAAACUGGUAUAAGCACAUCACCGACGUACGAAGUGUGCAAUAACUGCUUGUCGCGGCAGUCGCAGUGCGGCAACAGCGAGGUGAGGCCGCGGCAAGACAGCGGUGCUCAGGCAGUCGACGGACGUUAUGCAAGCAGUUAUAAGGUA